rnacentral:rRNA from 1 species
GGUGGAGUAAUGUUCCUUACCUAGAAAGGAGGAGGGCCAAGGCUGGUGCCAGCCGCCGCCGGUAAAACCAGCUUCUCCAAGUGGUCGGGAUAAUUAUUGGGCUUAAAGUGUCCGUAGCCGGUUUAGUAAGUUCCUGGUAAAAUCGGGUAGCUUAACUAUCCGUAUGCUAGGAAUACUGCUAUACUAGAGGACGGGAGAGGUCUGAGGUACUACAGGGGUAGGGGUGAAAUCUUAUAAUCCUUGUAGGACCACCAGUGGCGAAGGCGUCAGACUGGAACGUGCCUGACGGUGAGGGACGAAAGCCAGGGGAGCGAACCGGAUUAGAUACCCGGGGUAGUCCUGGCCGUAAACGAUGCAUACUAGGUGAUGGUACGGCCAUGAGCCGUAUCAGUGCCGUAGGGAAACCGUUAAGUGUGCCGCCUGGGGAAGUACGGUCGCAAGGCUAAAACUUAAAGGAAUUGGCGGGGGAGCACCACAAGGGGUGAAGCCUGCGGUUCAAUUGGACUCAACGCCGGGAAACUUACCAGGGGAGACAGCAGAAUGAUAGUCAGGUUGACGACCUUACUUGACGAGCUGAGAGGAGGUGCAUGGCCGUCGCCAGUUCGUGCUGUGAGGUAUCCUGUUAAGUCAGGCAACGAACGAGAUCCGCGCCUUUAUUUGCCAGCAAGAAGUCACGACUUCGUUGGGAACACUAAAGGGACCGCCGUCGAUAAGACGGAGGAAGGAGCGGGCAAAGGCAGGUCAGUAUGCCCCGAAACCCCUGGGCUACACGCGGGCUGCAAUGGUAUGAACAAUGGGCUGUAACUCCGAAAGGAGAAACCAAUCCCGAAAUCAUAUCUCAGUUGGAAUUGUCGGCUGUAACCCGCCGACAUGAACGUGGAAUCCCUAGUAAUCGUGUGUCAUCAUCGCACGGUGAAUACGUCUCUGCUCCUUGCACACACCGCCCGUCGCUCCAUCCGAGUGUGCUAAAAAUGAGGUGUGGUCAAUUUGGUCAUAUCGAGUUUCUAGUAUGCGAGGAGGGAGAAGUCGUAACAAGGUAACC